GGGGAAUUAGCUCAGUGGUAGAGCAUCUGAUUUGCAUUCAGAAGGUCAUCGGUUCAAAUCCGAUAUUCUCCA
rnacentral:tRNA from 1 species